GAUGAAGAACGUAGCGAAAUGCGAUAAGUAGUGUGAAUUGCAGAAUUCAGUGAAUCAUCGAAUCUUUGAACGCUCAUUGCGCCCUCUGGUAUUCCGGAGGGCAUGCCUGUUCGAGCGUCAUUAAAACUACUCAAGCUAAGGUUUUUUUUACCUUCUGCUUGGUCUUGGGUUUGAGGAUUCAAAAUCCUCUCUCCGAAAUCCAGUGGCGAAUUGUUUGAGCUGUAGACGUAGUAAAUCAUUCUACCCGUUGCAAGCGAGAAUAAUAUUCAGCCAUAACCCCCAUACUUUUCUAGUUUGACCUCGGAUCAGGUAGGGAUACCCGCUGAACUUAAGCAUAUCAAUAAGCGGAGGA
rnacentral:misc_RNA from 1 species